GUAAUGGUGUUGAUUGACAGGCUAGACCCAGAUUUUGAACUUUAUCGCUAUUGUUUUGAGCAAUCGAUUGCUUGAGGUGUUGCGUGGUAAAACUGCAAAGUGCUAAGUAUUAUCAAUAGUUCAUAUUUCAGCGAUAUAAGAACAAUAUAUUGGGUUAUUGGACAUCAAUUUGUUUGACGACAAUUAAUGAGAGAAACGGUUAUAUUUAUAUAUCAAACUUGAAAGUCUGUGGAUUCAGUCAAUAUUUCAUGACUUUUUUUGACAUUUCAAUCACGUUGGAAAUUUUUAAAAGAUUACAUUUUAAAUUGGAUCUGUCUUUUAUGGAAAAUAAGAAUCCAAUAUUGAAUUAAUUUUUGUGCAUACUGAGUAUUUAUUUUAUAUAAAUAUUAUAUUGAAUUACAAAAGCUAAAGUUAAAUCCAAGAAUGCUACAAGUGGACAUGAGUGCUACGUAAAAGUCUGUCAAUGGAGUAAAAUUCUGUGUAUGGAGUAAAAUGAGGUGCAUAGGAUUUGUAAAAUGGUUUGGAGUAUUAUUACUUCUUGAUUCACUUGUGUUCAAAGUGACUGCAUCGUGUCGAUGGUCAAAUGAGGGAUGUUACGAAAACGAGGAUUGUUGUUCUCAAUCUUGUGAACGAGCACACGAAGGUGCACACAAGAGGUGUUCCAAAAGUGAAAUCAACCAACCAUGCUACGCAGAUUAUAUGUGUGAAGAUGGAUUACAGUGUGGCCGGAAGUAUAAAUGUUGUACGCCAUAUUGGGGAAUAUGUAACUCGAAUGACGAAUGUUGCGAUUCGGAACACUUCUGUAAUUUCCAUAAGGGAUUUACAUAUAAGCGGUGCCUUUUUCCUAGUUUAGCACUUAAGUCCAGAAUUGACACUAAGUUAUUUUCAGUUGUUAUGUUAUUUUGGGUACUACAAUGUAUUAAUCACAGAACAUGACUGAAUAUAUCCUGAAAGUAAAGACAUCUUUUUUACUAUACAAAAAAAAAUUAACUUAAAAUCACAAAAGCCUGCUGUAUUAAUUAUAAAAAUCAAACACAAUUAAAGUUUUAAGAUGAUAAUUGACAACAAAUUUAUUUUCGAUUUGGAUUUUUACCCCGAAAAUUUAUUGAAAAACCAUAAAAUUGAAGUACAGCAAAGAACCCGUCAUUUUAACAACUCGUCAUUUUUUUUUAAACAAGCGAGACGGUUAGAAUAUGAAACCGAUGCCUACAUUGUACGUGUAGGACAUCAAAUUAUAUGACUUUUCCGUUUAAGGUAUAUGGUAAGAAUAUUCGUUUCACAUGCAUUUGUCAGAAGAAAAGAUAGCUCCUUUAAUGUCCUUUCAAAAAAAAAAAAAUCAACCGUACUCGUGUUCUUGCUAACAAAACACAAUAAAUAAAUAUACUGUACAUUCCUUAAUAAAACGAAUGCUCUCAGUUAUUAUGAUAUAUGUAUCUCUCCUGAUACAAAAAGGUUUUAAAAUUUUGAAUCGAGGAAAACGUUUUCUAGGAUUUUUUGCAAGAUGAAUGAUACCAUAAGAUCAAAUCAUUUUUACAAAAAAAAUGUUACCAUGAACUCAAGUCACAUUUCAAUUGCAUUUAGAUAAAACAAAAUAAUCGAUAAAUUCAAUUUCUGCAUUAAUUUUUGUUUGUUGCUAAUCUUUGUAAAAAUCUAAACAGAUUAUUUGCAUCUAUUUGUAAUUAAGAUUUGAUUUUUUCUUCAUUCUUUCCUAAAAGAAAGGAAAAGGUAUCUGUAAAUGAUUUAUAAAAAUAAUUAGAAAAUCUGUGCAAAAAAAUACUCAGAAUUUUCUUUUAAUGCUAAUUAAUGACGAUAAACUUUCAUUCUCUAAAUUACUCUUUAUGUCUCAUUCUGUACAAGUAUGAUCCUCCAAUUUAUUUUUAUAUUGGAGCACUCCCACUUAGGGUUUAUCAGAUGAUGUUAUUCUCUAUGAAAUCAAAAUUUAGUUAUGAACUGCUUUUUUGUAAUUCGCAGUUUCAGAGUAUAAUGCAUACUGGGAAAUAUUUUCAAAAGCGUACAUCAAAACUUUAUAAUUGGUUAAAAACGUUCUAUACAAUGGAAAUUAAACCAAUGACUUAGCGUUAUUUUCACAGUGAAAUUGCACACCGUCCUUUAAAUUAUGAAACGGCAAAUUCCAGUAUUUGUGUAUUCAGUUUUAAAGUCCUGCCACUGUUUAAUUUCCUUUAGUUAGAAUGUAUUUCUUUUAUUGUGACAAUCAAAAAAAUUGUGUUUGUAUGUUUUGUGCCUAUUUGCAUAUUGUUUUUAAAUGAUGCAUAUAUAAUUGUUAUUAAAUUAUUUUAUUGUA